GAUGAACGCUGGCGGCGUGCUUAACACAUGCAAGUCGAACGGUGAAGGCGGAGCUUGCUCUGCUGGAUCAGUGGCGAACGGGUGAGUAACACGUGAGCAAUCUGCCCCUGACUCUGGGAUAAGCGCUGGAAACGGCGUCUAAUACUGGAUACGAGCUGCGACGGCAUCUUCAGCAGCUGGAAAGAACUUCGGUCAGGGAUGAGCUCGCGGCCUAUCAGCUUGUUGGUGAGGUAACGGCUCACCAAGGCGUCGACGGGUAGCCGGCCUGAGAGGGUGACCGGCCACACUGGGACUGAGACACGGCCCAGACUCCUACGGGAGGCAGCAGUGGGGAAUAUUGCACAAGGGGCGAAAGCCUGAUGCAGCAACGCCGCGUGAGGGACGACGGCCUUCGGGGUGUAAACCUCUUGUAGCAGGGAAGAAGCGAAAGUGACGGUACCUGCAGAAAAAGCGCCGGCUAACUACGUG
rnacentral:rRNA from 1 species